GUCUACAGAAGCGUUUUUUGUGGUGUUGAGAGUAUUUUGGAGGAAGUGAUGAGAAGCAGCGACGAAGAGCAAAGACGCAGAGAGAUGCAUCUGAGAACACGGUGUCGAGCGUCUGUCGAGAGGAGAUGUUUGUUCAUGGACUCGAUCCCGUUUUAGAUCGUGGCUUUGGUUUCCAGAACAAACCUUGGUGGUGACUGCCUUGAUCAACAUGUCUUCCUACACUUUGUAAAUACUGUAAGCGGUUGCUUUUUGUUUUUGUAAUUGGAUAUUCAUUGUAAUUGUUUAUUGUAAC